UACGGAGGGGACUAGCGUUGUUCGGAAUUACUGGGCAUAAAGCGCACGUAGGCGGAUUUGUAAGUCAGGGGUGAAAGCCCGGGGCUCAACCCCGGAAUUGCCUUUAAGACUGCAUCGCUUGAAUCCGGGAGAGGUGAGUGGAAUUCCGAGUGUAGAGGUGAAAUUCGUAGAUAUUCGGAAGAACACCAGUGGCGAAGGCGGCUCACUGGACCGGUAUUGACGCUGAGGUGCGAAAGCGUGGGGAGCAAACAGG
rnacentral:rRNA from 1 species